rnacentral:rRNA from 1 species
GGGGAACAUUGGACAAUGGGGGCAACCCUGAUCCAGCCAUGCCGCGUGUGUGAAGAAGGCCUUAGGGUUGUAAAGCACUUUCGGCUGUGAAGAUAAUGACAGUAGCAGAAGAAGAAGCUCCGGCUAAAUUCGUGCCAGCAGCCGCGGUAAUACGAAUGGAGCGAGCGUUGUUCGGAAUCACUGGGCGUAAAGCGUGCGCAGGCGGUCUUGAAAGUCAGGAGUGAAAUCCCAGGGCUUAACCCUGGAAUUGCUCUUGAAACUCCAAGACUGGAGUACUGGAGAGGUUGGCGGAAUUCCGAGUGUAGCAGUGAAAUGCGUAGAUAUUCGGAGGAACACCGAUGGCGUAGGCAGCCAACUGGACAGUUACUGACGCUCAUGCACGAAAGCGUGGGGAUCAAAC